UACGUAGGGCGCAAGCGUUGUCCGGAAUUAUUGGGCGUAAAGGGCUCGUAGGCGGUUUGUCGCGUCGGGAGUGAAAACAUCCAGCUUAACUGGGUGCUUGCUUUCGAUACGGGCAGACUUGAGGUAUGCAGGGGAGAAUGGAAUUCCUGGUGUAGCGGUGAAAUGCGCAGAUAUCAGGAGGAACACCGGUGGCGAAGGCGGUUCUCUGGGCAUUACCUGACGCUGAGGAGCGAAAGUGUGGGGAGCGAACAGG
rnacentral:rRNA from 1 species